CCUACGGGGCGCAGCAGUGAGGAAUAUUGGUCAAUGGGCGGAAGCCUGAACCAGCCAAGUCGCGUGAGGGAAUAAGGCCCUACGGGUCGUAAACCUCUUUUGCCGGGGAGCAAGGGCGGGGACGUGUCCCGGCCCGGAUAUUACCCGGAGAAAAAGCAUCGGCUAACUCCGUGCCAGCAGCCUCGGUAAUCCGGGGGAUGCGAGCGUUAUCCGGAUUUAUUAGGGUUAAAGGGUGCUAAGGCGGGCUUUUAAGUCAGCGGUAAAAAUUCGGGGGUCAACCCCGUCCGGCCGUUGAAACUGGGGGCCUUGAGUGGGCGAGAAGAAGGCGGAAUGCGUGGUGUAGCGGUGAAAUGCAUAGAUAUCACGCAGAACCCCGAUUGCGAAGGCAGCCUUCCGGCGCCCUACUGACGCUGAGGCACGAAAGUGCGAGGAUCGAACAGGAUUAGAUACCCUAGUAGUC
rnacentral:rRNA from 1 species